rnacentral:rRNA from 1 species
AAGCUCGUAAAUGUUCAUUAUUUGGACAAGACAACAUUUAUGAAUGGAAAAGACGAUGAACGGGAAGAGGCUAUGGUUUUUGACACAAGUCCAAGCUUUGAUGAUCUUGCAGUGAAAGUGAGAAGCGUCUUACAUUGGAAUGACCAAAUGGAGGUUGAUCUUAUUGGGAGGUAUGACGUUGGAUUGGGAGUAAAGUCCCGAUUAAAGAGUAUGCCCAUCACCUCCCAAUUGCAUUGGAAUGUGUACAAGGACAAAGUAGACGCAUCACAAGACAAGUCUCUUGAGAUAUUUGCCACAAAGGUUGAUCUUCCUCCCUUGAAAAUUGAUUUGAACCGUAGUGUAUCCUCCCCAAUACAUGAUGGUAGUGCCGAGGUGUAUCUCCCCAAUUAUUCUAGCCAACCACCAAGUAGCCAACCCAAUAAAGAUCAUAUCAAUGCUAGCGCCAUAGUAAUCCGAGAUGAUGCUAUUCCUCUUGUUCAAGAAGAUGCUAGUGGUCAUGUUGAUGAUGAUGCUAUUGUUUCUCAAGAGGAUGCUUACCCGGAGAAUGAACAGAUUCAUUAA